AAGAAAGUGACAGAGUGGUUAAUGUGUUUGGCUUGAAACCAUUUUACGGGGGUUCGAUUCCUCCCUUUCUCG
rnacentral:tRNA from 1 species